rnacentral:lncRNA from 1 species
GUGUAUUAUUAUUUGUCUGUUUGUCUAUUUCAUUUUUAGCCAUGGCGUUGAGUCAGUUUAUUUUCGAUUUAUGAGUUUUACUGUUUCCCUGGUAUCUUUCGCCCCUCUGUUAGACAAUUGAUUGGUUAGGUCAGAGUUAUCUUUCUUAAGAUUUCAGCAUUUACAAUAGUUUCUCUCCUUCCCCUAGCAAUGUUACCUGUAAGCAUGUUAU